rnacentral:rRNA from 1 species
GGUCCGUGUUCGAAAGGGAAACAGCCCAGACCACCAGCUAAGGUCCCAAAAUAUAUGUUAAGUGGAAAAGGAUGUGGCGUUGCCCAGACAACUAGGAUGUUGGCUUAGAAGCAGCCAUCAUUUAAAGAGUGCGUAAUAGCUCACUAGUCGAGUGACACUGCGCCGAAAAUGUACCGGGGCUAAACAUAUUACCGAAGCUGUGGAUUGUCCUUUGGACAAUGGUAGGAGAGCGUUCUAAGGGCGUUGAAGCAUGAUCGUAAGGACAUGUGGAGCGCUUAGAAGUGAGAAUGCCGGUGUGAGUAGCGAAAGACGGGUGAGAAUCCCGUCCACCGAUUGACUAAGGUUUCCAGAGGAAGGCUCGUCCGCUCUGGGUUAGUCGGGUCCUAAGCUGAGGCCGACAGGCGUAGGCGAUGGAUAACAGGUUGAUAUUCCUGUACCACCUAUAAUCGUUUUA